GAUGAGCGCUGGCGGCGUGCCUAACACAUGCAAGUCGAACGGAGUUAUAUGAAGUUUUCGGACGGAAUAUAACUUAGUGGCGGACGGGUGAGUAACGCGUGGGUAACCUGCCUCAUACAGGGGGAUAACAGUUGGAAACGGCUGCUAAAACCGCAUAAGCAUACAUUGCCGCAUGGCAGAGUGUGAAAAUAUUUAUAGGUAUGAGAUGGGCCCGCGUCUGAUUAGCUAGUUGGUGGGGUAAAGGCCUACCAAGGCGACGAUCAGUAGCCGGCUUGAGAGAGUGACCGGCCACAUUGGGACUGAGACACGGCCCAAACUCCUACGGGAGGCAGCAGUGGGGAAUAUUGCACAAUGGGGGAAACCCUGAUGCAGCGACGCCGCGUGAGUGAAGAAGUAUUUCGGUAUGUAAAGCUCUAUCAGCAGGGAAGAAAAUGACGGUACCUGACUAAGAAGCCCCGGCUAACUACGUGCCAGCAGCCGCGGUAA
rnacentral:rRNA from 1 species